rnacentral:rRNA from 2 species
UUAAGCGACUAAGCGUACACGGUGGAUGCCCUGGCAGUCAGAGGCGAUGAAGGACGUGCUAAUCUGCGAUAAGCGUCGGUAAGGUGAUAUGAACCGUUAUAACCGGCGAUUUCCGAAUGGGGAAACCCAGUGUGUUUCGACACACUAUCAUUAACUGAAUCCAUAGGUUAAUGAGGCGAACCGGGGGAACUGAAACAUCUAAGUACCCCGAGGAAAAGAAAUCAACCGAGAUUCCCCCAGUAGCGGCGAGCGAACGGGGAGGAGCCCAGAGCCUGAAUCAGUGUGUGUGUUAGUGGAAGCGUCUGGAAAGGCGUGCGAUACAGGGUGACAGCCCCGUACACAAAAAUGCACAUGCUGUGAGCUCGAUGAGUAGGGCGGGACACGUGGUAUCCUGUCUGAAUAUGGGGGGACCAUCCUCCAAGGCUAAAUACUCCUGACUGACCGAUAGUGAACCAGUACCGUGAGGGAAAGGCGAAAAGAACCCCGGCGAGGGGAGUGAAAAAGAACCUGAAACCGUGUACGUACAAGCAGUGGGAGCCUCUUUAUGGGGUGACUGCGUACCUUUUGUAUAAUGGGUCAGCGACUUAUAUUCUGUAGCAAGGUUAACCGAAUAGGGGAGCCGAAGGGAAACCGAGUCUUAACUGGGCGUUAAGUUGCAGGGUAUAGACCCGAAACCCGGUGAUCUAGCCAUGGGCAGGUUGAAGGUUGGGUAACACUAACUGGAGGACCGAACCGACUAAUGUUGAAAAAUUAGCGGAUGACUUGUGGCUGGGGGUGAAAGGCCAAUCAAACCGGGAGAUAGCUGGUUCUCCCCGAAAGCUAUUUAGGUAGCGCCUCGUGAAUUCAUCUCCGGGGGUAGAGCACUGUUUCGGCAAGGGGGUCAUCCCGACUUACCAACCCGAUGCAAACUGCGAAUACCGGAGAAUGUUAUCACGGGAGACACACGGCGGGUGCUAACGUCCGUCGUGAAGAGGGAAACAACCCAGACCGCCAGCUAAGGUCCCAAAGUCAUGGUUAAGUGGGAAACGAUGUGGGAAGGCCCAGACAGCCAGGAUGUUGGCUUAGAAGCAGCCAUCAUUUAAAGAAAGCGUAAUAGCUCACUGGUCGAGUCGGCCUGCGCGGAAGAUGUAACGGGGCUAAACCAUGCACCGAAGCUGCGGCAGCGACACUAUGUGUUGUUGGGUAGGGGAGCGUUCUGUAAGCCUGCGAAGGUGUACUGUGAGGUAUGCUGGAGGUAUCAGAAGUGCGAAUGCUGACAUAAGUAACGAUAAAGCGGGUGAAAAGCCCGCUCGCCGGAAGACCAAGGGUUCCUGUCCAACGUUAAUCGGGGCAGGGUGAGUCGACCCCUAAGGCGAGGCCGAAAGGCGUAGUCGAUGGGAAACAGGUUAAUAUUCCUGUACUUGGUGUUACUGCGAAGGGGGGACGGAGAAGGCUAUGUUGGCCGGGCGACGGUUGUCCCGGUUUAAGCGUGUAGGCUGGUUUUCCAGGCAAAUCCGGAAAAUCAAGGCUGAGGCGUGAUGACGAGGCACUACGGUGCUGAAGCAACAAAUGCCCUGCUUCCAGGAAAAGCCUCUAAGCAUCAGGUAACAUCAAAUCGUACCCCAAACCGACACAGGUGGUCAGGUAGAGAAUACCAAGGCGCUUGAGAGAACUCGGGUGAAGGAACUAGGCAAAAUGGUGCCGUAACUUCGGGAGAAGGCACGCUGAUAUGUAGGUGAAGUCCCUCGCGGAUGGAGCUGAAAUCAGUCGAAGAUACCAGCUGGCUGCAACUGUUUAUUAAAAACACAGCACUGUGCAAACACGAAAGUGGACGUAUACGGUGUGACGCCUGCCCGGUGCCGGAAGGUUAAUUGAUGGGGUUAGCGCAAGCGAAGCUCUUGAUCGAAGCCCCGGUAAACGGCGGCCGUAACUAUAACGGUCCUAAGGUAGCGAAAUUCCUUGUCGGGUAAGUUCCGACCUGCACGAAUGGCGUAAUGAUGGCCAGGCUGUCUCCACCCGAGACUCAGUGAAAUUGAACUCGCUGUGAAGAUGCAGUGUACCCGCGGCAAGACGGAAAGACCCCGUGAACCUUUACUAUAGCUUGACACUGAACAUUGAGCCUUGAUGUGUAGGAUAGGUGGGAGGCUUUGAAGUGUGGACGCCAGUCUGCAUGGAGCCGACCUUGAAAUACCACCCUUUAAUGUUUGAUGUUCUAACGUUGGCCCCUGAUCGGGGUUGCGGACAGUGUCUGGUGGGUAGUUUGACUGGGGCGGUCUCCUCCUAAAGAGUAACGGAGGAGCACGAAGGUUGGCUAAUCCUGGUCGGACAUCAGGAGGUUAGUGCAAUGGCAUAAGCCAGCUUGACUGCGAGCGUGACGGCGCGAGCAGGUGCGAAAGCAGGUCAUAGUGAUCCGGUGGUUCUGAAUGGAAGGGCCAUCGCUCAACGGAUAAAAGGUACUCCGGGGAUAACAGGCUGAUACCGCCCAAGAGUUCAUAUCGACGGCGGUGUUUGGCACCUCGAUGUCGGCUCAUCACAUCCUGGGGCUGAAGUAGGUCCCAAGGGUAUGGCUGUUCGCCAUUUAAAGUGGUACGCGAGCUGGGUUUAGAACGUCGUGAGACAGUUCGGUCCCUAUCUGCCGUGGGCGCUGGAGAACUGAGGGGGGCUGCUCCUAGUACGAGAGGACCGGAGUGGACGCAUCACUGGUGUUCGGGUUGUCAUGCCAAUGGCACUGCCCGGUAGCUAAAUGCGGAAGAGAUAAGUGCUGAAAGCAUCUAAGCACGAAACUUGCCCCGAGAUGAGUUCUCCCUGACUCCCUGAGAGUCCUGAAGGAACGUUGAAGACGACGACGUUGAUAGGCCGGGUGUGUAAGCGCAGCGAUGCGUUGAGCUAACCGGUACUAAUGAACCGUGAGGCUUAACCUU